GUGCUCGCUACAGCAGCACAUAUACUAAAAUUGGAUCGAUACAGAGAAGAUUAGAAUGGCCCCUGCGAAAGGAUGACAUGCAAAUCCGUGAAGUGCUCCAUAUUUUU
ensembl:snRNA U6 U6 spliceosomal RNA